UACGUAGGGUGCGAGCGUUGUCCGGAAUUAUUGGGCGUAAAGAGCUCGUAGGCGGUUUGUCGCGUCUGCUGUGAAAACCCGAGGCUCAACCUCGGGCCUGCAGUGGGUACGGGCAGACUAGAGUGCGGUAGGGGAGAAUGGAACUCCUGGUGUAGCGGUGGAAUGCGCAGAUAUCAGGAAGAACACCGAUGGCGAAGGCAGUUCUCUGGGCAUUAACUGACGCUGAGGAGCGAAAGCAUGGGGAGCGAACAGG
rnacentral:rRNA from 1 species